GGACUACAAGGGUAUCUAAUCCUGUUUGCUCCCCUUGCUUUCGCGCCUCAGCGUCAGUUUCAGCCCAGAAAACCGUCUUCACCACCGGUGUUCUUCCACAUAUCUACGCAUUUCACCGCUACACGUGGAAUUCCGUUUUCCCUAACUGUACUCUAGUUCGGAAGUUUCAAAUGCAGCUUCGGAGUUGAGCCCCGAAAUUUCACAUCUGACUUUCCGAACCGCCUACGCGCCCUUUACGCCCAGUAAUUCCGAUCAAUGCUUGCACCCUCCGUAUUACCGCGGCGGCUGGCAC
rnacentral:rRNA from 1 species